rnacentral:sRNA from 1 species
AGAUAAAAGAAGCCCAGAACCAAUCUAAAUUGUUCUGGGCCUAGGGGAAUGGCUCAUAGGGAAUGAGCCGUGCGCUAUCGAAAAGACGUUACCAAUAAAGUAAUGUAAGUGUAGUAAAGCUACUUCACUUUUUCCUGUUU